rnacentral:tRNA from 1 species
GCCGGGAUGGUGGAAUAGGUAGACACGCAAGACUUAAAAUCUUGUGGCCUUUUGGCCGUGCGGGUUCGAUUCCCGCUCCUGGUA